CCUUAGUAACUGCGAGUGAAGAGGGAAAAGCUCAAAUUUAAAAUCUGGCAGUGUUUCACUGUCCGAGUUGUAACCUAGAGAAGUGUAACCUGCGCUGGACCGUGUAUAAGUCUCCUGGAAUGGAGCAUCACAGAGGGUGAGAAUCCCGUCUUUGACAUGGACCACCAGUGCAUUAUGGUUGUGCUCUCAACGAGUCGAGUUGUUUGGGAAUGCAGCUCUAAAUGGGUGGUAAAUUCCAUCUAAAGCUAAAUAUUGGCGAGAGACCGAUAGCGAACAAGUACCGUGAGGGAAAGAUGAAAAGAACUUUGGAAAGAGAGUUAAACAGUAUGUGAAAUUGUUGAAAGGGAAACGUUUGAAGUCAGUCGCGUUGGUUGGGGAUCAGCCUGACAUUGUUGGGUUUACUUCCUGGUCGACGGGCCAACAUCAGUUUUAACUGCCAGAAAAAGGCCAAAGGAAUGUGGCACCUUUGGGUGUGUUAUAGCCCUUGGUCGUAUAUGGUGGUUGGGACUGAGGAAAGCAGCGUGCCGAAAGGCCGGGUUUCGACCACGUUCACGCUGAGGAUGUUGGCAUAAUGGCUUUAAGCGACCCGUCUUGAAACACGGACCAAGGAGUCUAACAUGCAUGCGAGUGUUUGGGUGGAAAACCCUUACGCGUAAUGAAAGUGAAAGUUGAGAUCCCUGUCGCGGGGA
rnacentral:rRNA from 1 species